UACGAAGGGUGCUAGCGUUGUUCGGAAUUACUGGGCGUAAAGCGCACGUAGGCGGCCUAUUAAGUCAGGGGUGAAAUCCCGGGGCUCAACCCCGGAACUGCCUUUGAUACUGGUAGUCUCGAGUCCGGAAGAGGUGAGUGGAAUUCCGAGUGUAGAGGUGAAAUUCGUAGAUAUUCGCAAGAACACCAGUGGCGAAGGCGGCUCACUGGCCCGGUACUGACGCUGAGGUGCGAAAGCGUGGGGAGCAAACAGG
rnacentral:rRNA from 1 species